rnacentral:misc_RNA from 1 species
AUAUAUCAACCUCCUCAGGUUUUUACUUGUCGAGUGUUUGGAUGUGGGGGUUUCUUUUGCUGGUCUCUUUCGAGAUCGGCUCCCCUGAAAUGCAUUAGCGGAACAAUUUGUUGACCCGUUCAUUGGUGUGAUAACUAUCUACGCUAUUGACGUGAAGCAGGUUCAGCUUCUAACAGUCCAUUAACUUGGACAAAUUUUCAUUA